rnacentral:ncRNA from 1 species
GUGUGAUAUGAAAGGAGAGGAGGAUGGAAGAGGUCCUAGUGACCUUUACAACACAUACAUGGUUAAGGCAUUGCCACCUACUUUGUGGCAUCUAACCAAGUUUUUUG